GCCUCGUAUUUAGGGGAGUAGCUAACCAAGGCCAGAUUUUCAAUUGCCUUGGGGUGAGUAUCAACAUACUUGGCCACAGGCCAUGGUGCUCACAGUGGUUUCUGAGUUAAUGCUUAAUUAAUAAGACUCAGCGGAAAACCACCCAGCAAGACCUAAGCACGGCGA
rnacentral:sRNA from 1 species